rnacentral:rRNA from 1 species
GACGAACAGAGCGAACGUUGUUCGGAAUCACUGGGCUUAAAGGGCGCGUAGGCGGGUGAUCAAGUCCGUGGUGAAAUCCUCCGGCUCAACCGGAGAACUGCCUCGGAUACUGGGUGCCUCGAGGGUGGUAGGGGUAUGCGGAACUAUCGGUGGAGCGGUGAAAUGCGUUGAUAUCGAUAGGAACUCCGGUGGCGAAGGCGGCAUACUGGACCACCUCUGACGCUGAGGCGCGAAAGCCAGGGGAGCAAACGGG